rnacentral:misc_RNA from 1 species
UCCGGCUUAUCACCGGCAGUCCCACUAGAGUGCCCAACUUAAUGAUGGCAACUAAUGGCAAGGGUUGCGCUCGUUGCGGGACUUAACCCAACAUCUCACGACACGAGCUGACGACAGCCAUGCACCACCUGUGACGGUGUCCCGAAGGAAAGAUGUGUUUCCACACCGGUCACCGACAUGUCAAGCCCAGGUAAGGUUCUUCGCGUUGCAUCGAAUUAAGCCACAUGCUCCGCCGCUUGUGCGGGUCCCCGUCAAUUCCUUUGAGUUUUAGCCUUGCGGCCGUACUCCCCAGGCGGAGUGCUUAAUGCGUUAGCUGCGGCACAGAGAGGGUUGAAGACCUCCCCACACCUAGCACUCAACGUUUACGGCUGGGACUAC